rnacentral:rRNA from 1 species
CCUACGGGAGGCAGCAGUGGGGAAUAUUGCACAAUGGGGGAAACCCUGAUGCAGCGACGCCGCGUGAGUGAAGAAGUAAUUCGUUAUUGAAAGCUCUAUCAGCAGGGAGGAAAAUGACGGUACCUGAGUAUGAAUCCCCGUCUAACUACGUGCCAGCAGCCGCGGUAAUACGUAGGCGGCAAGCGUUAUCCGGAUUUACUGGGUGUAAAGGGAGUGUAGUCGGCAGUGCAAGUCUGGAGUGAAUGGCGGAGGCUCAACCCCCGGACUGCUCUGGAAACUGUACGGCUGGAGUGCAGGAGAGGUAAGUGGAAUGCCUAGUGUAGCGGUGAAAUGCGUAGAUAUUAGGAAGAACACCAGUGGCGAAGGCAGCUUACUGGACUAUAACUGACGUUGAGGCUCGAAAGCGUGGGGAGCAAACAGGAUUAGAUACCCCGGUAGUC